CAUUACUAACCCUUAGGUGCCCCACUAGUAAUAAAGCCAAGUGCGCCACUAGUAACCUUAGAGGUGCGCCACUAGCUAAAAAGCUAGGUGCGCCACCAAUAAAGGCUGAAAUGCGCCACUAAUAGUAUAUUUGGAAAA